ensembl:snRNA U6 U6 spliceosomal RNA
GUGGUUGCCUUGGCAGCACAUAUACUAAAAUUGGAACUAUAGAAGAUUAGCAUGGCUUCUGCACAAGGAUGACACAUAUUUGUGAAGCAUUUCAGAAUUUU